rnacentral:rRNA from 1 species
AAAAACUCCGGUGGUGUAAGAUGGACCCGCGUCUGAUUAGCUGGUUGGUGAGGUAACGGCUCACCAAGGCGACGAUCAGUAGCCGGCCUGAGAGGGUGAACGGCCACAUUGGGACUGAGACACGGCCCAAACUCCUAGGGGAGGCAGCAGUGGGGAAUAUUGCACAAUGGGGGAAACCCUGAUGCAGCAACGCCGCGUGAGUGAAGAAGUCAUUCGUGAUGUAAAGCUCUAUCAGCAGGGAAGAAAAUGACGGUACCUGACUAAGAAGCCCCGGCUAACUACGUGCCAGCAGCCGCGGUAAUACGUAGGGGGCAAGCGUUAUCCGGAUUUACUGGGUGUAAAGGGAGCGUAGACGGCGACGCAAGUCUGAAGUGAAAUGCCAGUGCUCAACACUGGAACUGCUUUGGAAACUGUGUGGCUAGAGUGCAGGAGAGGUAAGUGGAAUUCCUAGUGUAGCGGUGAAAUGCGUAGAUAUUAGGAGGAACACCAGUGGCGAAGGCGGCUUACUGGACUGUAACUGACGUUGAGGCUCGAAGGCGUGGGGAGCAAACAGGAUUAGGUACCCUGGUAGUCCACGCGGUAAACGAUGAUUACUAGGUGUCGGGGGGCUAUAGCCCUUCG